rnacentral:rRNA from 1 species
GGAUCCAGACUUUGAUUAUGGCUCAGGAUGAACGCUAGCUACAGGCUUAACACAUGCAAGUCGAGGGGAAACGAUAUUGGAAGCUUGCUUCCGAUAGGCGUCGACCGGCGCACGGGUGAGUAACGCGUAUCCAACCUGCCCAUCACUUGGGGAUAACCUUGCGAAAGUAAGACUAAUACCCAAUGACGUUUCUAGAAGACAUCUGAAAGAGAUUAAAGAUUCAUCGGUGAUGGAUGGGGAUGCGUCUGAUUAGCUUGUUGGCGGGGUAACGGCCCACCAAGGCGACGAUCAGUAGGGGUUCUGAGAGGAAGGUCCCCCACAUUGGAACUGAGACACGGUCCAAACUCCUACGGGAGGCAGCAGUGAGGAAUAUUGGUCAAUGGGCGAGAGCCUGAACCAGCCAAGUAGCGUGCAGGAUGACGGCCCUAUGGGUUGUAAACUGCUUUUAUAAGGGAAUAAAGUGAGCCUCGUGAGGCUUUUUGCAUGUACCUUAUGAAUAAGGACCGGCUAAUUCCGUGCCAGCAGCCGCGGUAAUACGGAAGGUCCGGGCGUUAUCCGGAUUUAUUGGGUUUAAAGGGAGCGUAGGCCGGAGAUUAAGCGUGUUGUGAAAUGUAGAUGCUCAACAUCUGCACUGCAGCGCGAACUGGUUUCCUUGAGUACGCACAAAGUGGGCGGAAUUCGUGGUGUAGCGGUGAAAUGCUUAGAUAUCACGAAGAACUCCGAUUGCGAAGGCAGCUCACUGGAGCGCAACUGACGCUGAAGCUCGAAAGUGCGGGUAUCGAACAGGAUUAGAUACCCUGGUAGUCCGCACGGUAAACGAUGGAUGCCCGCUGUUGGUCUGAAUAGGUCAGCGGCCAAGCGAAAGCAUUAAGCAUCCCACCUGGGGAGUACGCCGGCAACGGUGCAACUCAAAGGAAUUGACGG